AGUGAACGCUGGCGGUAGGCCUAACACAUGCAAGUCGAACGGCAGCACAGUAAGAGCUUGCUCUUACGGGUGGCGAGUGGCGGACGGGUGAGGAAUACAUCGGAAUCUACUUUUUCGUGGGGGAUAACGUAGGGAAACUUACGCUAAUACCGCAUACGACCUACGGGUGAAAGCAGGGGAUCUUCGGACCUUGCGCGAUUGAAUGAGCCGAUGUCGGAUUAGCUAGUUGGCGGGGUAAAGGCCCACCAAGGCGACGAUCCGUAGCUGGUCUGAGAGGAUGAGCAGCCAUACUGGAACUGAGACACGGUCCAGACUCCGACGGGAAGCAGCAGUGGGGAAUAUUGGACAAUGGGCGCAAGCCUGAUCCAGCCAUACCGCGUGGGUGAAGAAGGCCUUCGGGUUGUAAAGCACUUUUGUUGGGAAAGAAAAGCAGCAGGUUAAUACCCCGCUGUUCUGACGGUACCCAAAGAAUAAGCACCGGCUAACUUCGUG
rnacentral:rRNA from 1 species